rnacentral:rRNA from 1 species
CCUACGGGGGCAGCAGUGGGGAAUAUUGGACAAUGGGCGAAGGCCUGAUCCAGCAAUUCCGCGUGUGUGAAGAAGGCCUUCGGGUUGUAAAGCACUUUAGGUUGGGAAGAAAAGCUUCGGUGAAUAUCCGGAGUGUUGACGGUACCAACAGAAUAAGCACCGGCUAACUCUGUGCCAGCAGCCGCGGUAAUACAGAGGGUGCAAGCGUUAAUCGGAUUUACUGGGCGUAAAGCGUGCGCAGGUGGUUUCGUAAGUCGGAUGUGAAAGCCCCGGGCUCAACCUGGGAACUGCGUUCGAUACUGCGAGACUAGAGUUUGGUAGAGGGUGGCGGAAUUCCCGGUGUAGCGGUGAAAUGCGUAGAUAUCGGGAGGAACAUCAAUGGCGAAGGCAGCCACCUGGGCCUGAACUGACACUGAGGCACGAAAGCGUGGGUAGCAAACAGGAUUAGACUACCCGUGGUAGUCCACGCCGUAAGACGAUAGAGAACGUACGUACGUUACGGUUUACGGUUUUACGUAGUACGGUGUCGUAGUCGUACGUACGAGUAAGUUACGUCCGUCCGUCGGGAGGUACGGCCGCGAGGUUAGUAACGUACGAAGGAAGUAGACGGCGUGAGACGUACGCCGACGACGACGACGAGGGAGUAGG